GCUGCAGAGGCCGUCCGAGUUGUAAUCUAGAGAAGUGUCUUCCAGUGCCAUGCCGUGUACAAGUCUCCUGGAAGGGAGCAUCAUAGAGGGUGAGAAUCCCGUCUGUCGACACGGAACGUUGCGUACUUUGUGAUGCACUCUCGACGAGUCGAGUUGUUUGGGAAUGCAGCUCUAAAUGGGUGGUAAAUUCCAUCUAAAGCUAAAUACAGGCGAGAGACCGAUAGCGAACAAGUACCGUGAGGGAAAGAUGAAAAGGACUUUGAAAAGAGAGUUAAACAGUACGUGAAUUUGCUGAAAGGGAAACGCUUGAUGUCAGUCGCGUCGGUCAGGAAUCAACCUUGCUCUCUUUGCUUGGCGGACUUCCUGGUCGACGGGUCAGCAUCAGUUUCGAUCCCGCCGUAGAAAGGCGAGAGUGAAUGUGGCACGCUUAGGUGUGUGUUUAUAGCCUCUCGUCCGAUGCGGCGGUCGGGACUGAGGAACUCAGCAACGUCGUUGCGUUGCUUAGGAUGCUGGCAUAAUGGCCUUAAGCGACCCGUCUUGAAACACGGACCAAGGAGUCUAACAUGCCUGCGAGUGUUCGGGUGUCAAAACUCGGUCGCGCAACGAAAGUGAAAGUCGAGACCUCUGUCGUGGAGGGCAUCGACGCCCGGACCGGAUGUCUUUCAG
rnacentral:rRNA from 1 species